GCCUUGGUAGCUCAGUUGGUAAAGCGUCUGACUUCAGCUCAGGUCAUGAUGUCAUAGUACGUGGGUUGGAGGCCCUCGUCAGGCU
rnacentral:tRNA from 1 species